AUGAAGGGAGCUUGCUCCCGGAUUCAGCGGCGGACGGGUGAGUAAUGCCUAGGAAUCUGCCUGGUAGUGGGGGAUAACGUCCGGAAACGGGCGCUAAUACCGCAUACGUCCUGAGGGAGAAAGUGGGGGAUCUUCGGACCUCACGCUAUCAGAUGAGCCUAGGUCGGAUUACCUAGUUGGUGGGGUAAAGGCCUACCAAGGCGACGAUCCGUAACUGGUCUGAGAGGAUGAUCAGUCACACUGGAACUGAGACACGGUCCAGACUCCUACGGGAGGCAGCAGUGGGGAAUAUUGGACAAUGGGCGAAAGCCUGAUCCAGCCAUGCCGCGUGUGUGAAGAAGGUCUUCGGAUUGUAAAGCACUUUAAGUUGGGAGGAAGGGCAGUAAGUUAAUACCUUGCUGUUUUGACGUUACCAACAGAAUAAGCACCGGCUAACUUCGUGCCAGCAGCCGCGGUAAUACGAAGGGUGCAAGCGUUAAUCGGAAUUACUGGGCGUAAAGCGCGCGUAGGUGGUUCAGCAAGUUGGAUGUGAAAUCCCCGGGCUCAACCUGGGAACUGCAUCCAAAACUACUGAGCUAGAGUACGGUAGAGGGUGGUGGAAUUUCCUGUGUAGCGGUGAAAUGCGUAGAUAUAGGAAGGAACACCAGUGGCGAAGGCGACCACCUGGACUGAUACUGACACUGAGGUGCGAAAGCGUGGGGAGCAAACAGGAUUAGAUAC
rnacentral:rRNA from 1 species